rnacentral:lncRNA from 1 species
GGAAGUGUCAGGUGUGUGGGGUGUGUGAAGGAGAGGUGGAGGGAGAGGCGGGAGGGGUAUGCAGGGUGACAGGCAGCCAGAGUGAGUAUGCGGUGGGGGUGCUAGGUGUGGAGGGGGUACAAGAGUGCACAGAGUGGCUAGAGAGAAAGUGAGAAGGGUAGAAAAAGGUGUGGAGGAAUGAGCAGGUCCCUGAGGGCCUGGAGGACCUGAGCAGAGGUGGAGGUGAAGGAGGGGGCUGGGUGGCAUGGAGAGGGGUGGAUAGGCCUGCGAGGCUUUGACAGUUUGGCUUUUGUCCCUGUCCACGUCCCCAGCUGCCGCAGCCCCCACCAAACCUGGCCUUACUGCCAGGCUCAUUUCAGGGAUGGGUGGAAAUUUCCAUUUCAGCAAAAUCCAUUUGUAAAGCCCUGGAGCUUUGAGCCUCAUUCUGCUCUGCCCGCCUGGCUCUGCCCACAUGGCUCUGGCCUGCUCAGCUAGCCCCACUCUCCACCCCAGACCUCCCUCUGCUCUCCCUCCCCAGCAGGCAGAGCUUGGGCUCAGGGCCUGGGCUCCCUCAGCCCCACUCCAACCCUAGCACUGCAGCCUACAGAGGACCAUCCUCCCCACCCCCCAACCCAGCCAAGCAUUUUGACAUUCUAGGGUGCCCCACAGAUCUGGCAGAAGUGGUAGAUUGGUCAGUGCCUUGCCUCAGUUAGGGGACCAUCAGCAUGCAGUCUACCCCCACUGCCCCCUGUCCCAGUACAGACGGUGGUUUUGAUGCUACAGCACAGCAAAAUGGGAAGAGCUCUUCAAGAUAAUCCUAUUUAGACCCUUUUGUUUUACAGAUAGGGAAAUGGAGGCCCAGAGAGGAAAAGGUACUUACUAGUCCAGGGUGCUACACAACUGGCUGGUGUGCAGAGCCAGAAUGACCAUAUUGCCUAGAGGAGGAGUUGAGGAAAAACAGAGCCAUGCAAACUUCAAACAGGCUCUGUUGAAGAGCGAUCC